UUUUUACACCUGAGAUAAGAUUUGAUGUGUUGAAACAUGCAUUUCUUUAGAUAGUGAUAGAAAAUAUUGUUUUCAAAGGAGGGGAAAAAAGCAUAAUUUUAAAAUGAGAGAAACAAAGUCCAAGCAGGAAAAUUGCAAAAUAAUCCUUUUUCUAUUCAAAAUCAGUGGUGGGUAGGGGAGUGAGAUCUACCCAAAGUGGGGAUUAAGCAUCUCUGGAUAUCAAAUGGAGAGUAAGACUGCUAACAGCUUUGGCUAGAACUCUGAAAAUGUUAGCUGUUUUAAUUGAUAAGGCACCAAACAAAACUUUAUAUAUCCAAGACUGAUAAAUGAAGUUAGAGUAGAAACAUCAGUAGAUAUUUCUACAAUUUUAUUUAGCUCAAAAUGAUAUCCUUGAAGUUGAAGAUGGUGAAUAGAAUAGCUUUAUUAUGAGAAAAAGGGGGAAGGCCUGGCAAAUUACUCAGAAAUUAUACAUUCAUCUAUGCUAAUUUCAUUUGAAAGGGAAACUGCAUAAGUUUUUUGUGCAAUCAGGCAGAGCUGCACUAGGUAUGAUGGAGAUCAGCCCUAUGCUCACAGUCCUUGGCUCAUCAGAAUUCUUUGAAGACAUCAUUACUGUGAAGCUGCUAAGCUGUUUUCAGAAGAGAAGAGGAAGCACAGAGUAGGUGCUGUUAUUGCUUUGAAUGGAACUCAGCUUGCUUGUGUGGGUUUGGAGUUGAUAUCAUCUACUAAGAGAAGACUUAAUUGUAGUCAUAAACAGUCUGUGAAUGACUUGGGUCCUUCUGAAGUGCUGUAUAUGGGAAAUUUCUUUUUAACUCUCCAACAUUUGGUAAGAAAAAUCUUCCAACAAAUGGAAUUGCCUUUCUAUUAAAAAAUAAAAAAUACUUGAGAACAUGGCAGUUUUAAACAAUGGGCUAGUAUGGCAAAUGUGUGAGGAUACUUGCAGACAUCCGAACCCACAGCUUCUCCAAUACAUCUGUGGACCUCUCAGAGGCAGAAUAGUCCGAAGGCUUGUUAUGGCCCAAAGUUCAAAGAAAAUACAAGAGGGGAAGAUUUAAAUGGCAGAAGAGAGAUAAAGUAUAGCCAAUCAUUCUCUCAGGAAGUCUUCUAAGAACAGUGCUCUUUUAUGUACUCUUCAUUUUCAGCUUGAGUCUUUCUUAUAUCUAAGGUCCCUUGGGCCCACAAAACUGGGCAGAAAUUUUCCUAGCCAAUAAAAUGCUUGACAUUUCUCUUCUGACGUGCAAGGAAAUAGAACAGUCUAUCAUUUCCUGCUUUAGAACUACCUGAGAUAGUUGGUAUAUACCCUUUUCUUCCAUGGACCCAGUCUUGGCCACUCUAGCAGUUCUCUAAACCAAAUGAAACAAAAAUACAAAAA
rnacentral:lncRNA from 1 species